rnacentral:misc_RNA from 1 species
CCGAGUUUACAACUCCCAAAACCCCUGUUGAACAUACCUUUAUGUUUGCCUCGGCGGAUCAGCCCGCGCCCCGUAAAAACGGGACGGCCCGCCGCAGGAAACCCUAAACUCUGUUUUUAGUGGAACUUCUGAGUAUAAAAAACAAAUAAAAUCA